rnacentral:rRNA from 1 species
UGAGGAACCUACCGAGGUGCGGGGGAUAGCCGGCCCAACGGCCGGGUAAUACCGCAUACGACCUUUUGGGGACAUCCCCGAUUGGUGAAAGCAGCAAUGCGCCGAAAGAGUGCCUCGCGGCCUAUCAGCUAGUUGGUGGGGUAAUGGCUCACCAAGGCGACGACGGGUAGCUGGUCUGAGAGGAUGGCCAGCCACAUUGGGACUGAGACACGGCCCAGACUCCGUACGGGAGCAGCAGG